CAGUCGCCACGGUAAUACGGAGGGGCUAGCGUUGUUCGGAAUUACUGGGCGUAAAGCGCACGUAGGCGGCUUGGUAAGUUAGAGGUGAAAGCCCGGAGCUCAACUCCGGAAUUGCCUUUAAGACUGCCGAGCUAGUAGGUGAGAGAGGUAAGUGGAAUUCCGAGUGUAGAGGUGAAAUUCGUAGAUAUUCGGAAGAACACCAGUGGCGAAGGCGGCUUACUGGCUCAUUCUAGACGCUGAGGUGCGAAAGCGUGGGGAGCAAACAGGAUUAGAUACCCGAGUAGUCCCUGUCUCUUAUACA
rnacentral:rRNA from 1 species